rnacentral:rRNA from 1 species
UACGUAGGGGGCUAGCGUUAUCCGGAAUUACUGGGCGUAAAGGGUGCGUAGGUGGUUUCUUAAGUCAGAGGUGAAAGGCUACGGCUCAACCGUAGUAAGCCUUUGAAACUGGGAAACUUGAGUGCAGGAGGGGAGAGUGGAAUUCCUAGUGUAGCGGUGAAAUGCGUAGAUAUUAGGAGGAACACCAGUUGCGAAGGCGGCUCUCUGGACUGUAACUGACACUGAGGCACGAAAGCGUGGGGAGCAAACAGG